rnacentral:lncRNA from 1 species
CCUAGUUUUAAAUUAAUUUCAACAAAAUUUAUAGGUUUUCAAAGGAAGAAGAAAAAAGAAAAAGAAUUAUCAUGUUUAUUUAACGGCAAUUUUAACAGAAUGGGCUAUAUUGGCUAACAGUGCUAAACACAGGGACCAAAUUGGCCAAAUUAAAAACACAUGGACCAAAUUGGCCAACAAGAUAAAACACAGGGACUAUUUUAGCAUUUAAGCCUUGAUUUUAUAUAUAAACACUAAAAGUUAUAAAUUGAAAAGAAAUUUUUUUUUUUUUAAAAGGACCUGAUGAUGUGUGAAAUAUCAUUAUUAUCCUUGCAUUAUGAUUUUUAGAGAAGGGAAAGAACAAAAAAAGUCGGAGAGGAGGGGAAGAGAGAAAAGGAAAAAUAUAAAGAAAGAAGAAAAGUGUAUGGGCUUCUUAAAAAACAAAAAGUUUAUGGACUUCUACCAACAAAAGAAAGGUAAGGUAUAUGGGCUUUGAAGUUGGGUUUAGGGGAGUUGGGUUGUAUGAGAUAUAUAUAGCCAAUUUGGUUCAGUGCGGACUGGGACGCUUGCGGGAGACUUUCGAGUUUCCCGACAGGUCGAUGUACAACCGAAAGGUGAAUGCUUUACCAAACUCGUGUACAACUCCUUUCCUGUGUAUUGAUUUCCGCUUAUUACAUGCUUGGUUUCCUAAAUUCUUUCUCCACAGCACCCCCUGACCAAAGAAACAAAAAACCAGAAAGCCAAGAUCUCUAUAAAGCGAGGGUUUUUUGAGAUACAAAAUCAGAAUUAAAAUC